AGAGUUUGAUCCUGGCUCAGAACGAACGUUGGCGAUAUGUUUUAAGCAUGCAAGUCGAGCGGGAUCACAGUGCUUGCACUGUGUGAGAGCGGCGAACGGGUGAGUAACGCGUAGGUUAUCUGCCCGGCAGACUGGGAUAGCCACUGGAAACAGUGAUUAAUACCGGAUAUUGUCCUUCGGGAUGAAAGGUGCGUUUGCGCCACUGCCGGAUGAGCCUGCGUCCUAUUAGCUUGUUGGUAGGGUAAUGGCCUACCAAGGCGAUGAUAGGUAGCCGACCUGAGAGGGUGACCGGCCACAUUGGGACUGAGAUACGGCCCAGACUCCUAUGGGAGGCAGCAGCUAAGAAUAUUCCGCAAUGGGGGAAACCCUGACGGAGCAAUGUCGCGUGCGGGAUGAAGGCUUUCGGGUUGUGAACCGCUUUUGGUAGGAAAGAAUAAGGGUGUAGGAAAUAUACAUCCGAUGACGGUACCUGCUGAAUAAGCACCGGCUAAUUACGUGCCAGCAGCCGCGGUAAUACGUAGGGUGCGAACGUUGUUCGGAAUCACUGGGCGUAAAGGGUACGUAGGCUGCCAAUUAAGUUAAAGGUGAAAUCUUGAGGCUUAACUUCAAGACUGCCUUUAAUACUGGUUGGCUAGAGUUGUUUAUAUAGGUAGCGGGAAUUCCUAGUGUAGGAGUGAAAUCUGUAGAUAUUAGGAAGAAUACCAAUGGCGAAGGCAGGCUACUGGGUAACGACUGACGCUGAGGUACGAAAGCCAGGGGAGCGAAUGGGAUUAGAGACCCCAGUAGUCCUGGCCGUAAACGCUGUAUACUAGUUUUAUAGGGAUUCUUAUCUUUGUGAAACGUAGCUAACGCGUUAAGUAUACCGCCUGGGGAGUAUGCACGCAAGUGUGAAACUCAAAGGAAUUGACGGGGGCUCGCACAAGCGGUGGAGCAUGUGGUUUAAUUCGAUGAUACGCGAAAAACCUUACCUAGGCUUGAACGUGUAGUGACCACUGGUGAAAGCCAGUUUCCCUUCGGGGCGCUAUGCGAGGUGCUGCAUGGCUGUCGUCAGCUCGUGUUGUGAAAUGUUGGGUUAAGUCCCGCAACGAGCGCAACCCUUAUCCUAUGUUGCUAAGUAAGCUUCGGUUUACAGGACUCUUAGGAAACUGCCCUGGUUAACGGGGAGGAAGGUGGGGAUGACGUCAAGUCCUCAUGGCCCUUAUGUCUAGGGCUACACACGUGCUACAAUGGGACGCACAAAGGGAAGCAAGCCCGCGAGGUUAAGCUAAUCCCAAAAAUCGUCUCUUAGUUCGGAUUGCAGUCUGCAACUCGACUGCAUGAAGUUGGAAUCGCUAAUCGCAGAUCAGCAUGCUGCGGUGAAUACGUUCUCGAGCCUUGUACACACCGCCCGUCACACCACCCGAGUCAAAUUUGCCCGAAGUCGCCGUACCAACCGCAAGGAGGAAAGCGCCGAAGGUGGAUUUGGUAAGGAGGGUGAAGUCG
rnacentral:rRNA from 1 species